ensembl:lncRNA
CCAUCAAUGGGAUCGCACGGAGUCGGACAUGACUGAAGCGACUUAGCAGCAGCAGCAGUGACUAAGUCAUGUCCACCUGUUUUGCAAUCCUAUGGGCGAUGGCCCACCAGGCUCCUCUGUCAGUGGGAUUUCCUAGGCAAGAACACUGGAGUGCAUUGCCAUUUCCUUCUCUGGGGAAUCUUCCCCACCGACCCAGGGAUCAAACCCGCAUCUCCUGAAUUGGCAGGCCGAUGCUUUACCACUGAGCCACCAGGGAAGCCCUGAGCCCUUCCUAAUCUCUGCUAAACCAAAAAGACUAAAAAGAAAAAGACCAAGAACCUGAUAGAAAAAUGAACCAAGGGCAGUGAACGGACAGUUCACAGAAAAAGAAAGACCAAAUAUCCUUUAAACCUCAGAGGAAGAGGUUUAUCAUCUUAAUAAGAGAAAUGCAAAUUAAACUAAGGUAUCAUUCAUCGCCUGUGAGAGUGACAAAAAUCCUCAAGUUUGAUAACACUAUGUUGGCUGAGCUGUGGGGAAAUGUAUUCUCCCGCUGGUAAGAGUGCAAAAUGUUGGGGGUAGAAUCCAGCAAUAGCUGUCCAAUCAUUUACUCUUGAAGUAGCAAGUGCAGGUCUUGAAAUUCAAACUAACCUGUCCACGUAUAAAAGUAUAUACACAAUUCUUCAUCGCAGCAUUGUUUUAAUGGUACAAAAUGGCAGCAACCCAACUGUAAAAAAGAUAUAUCCACACAGUGGAACACAAUUUGCUAUAAAACAGAAUGAGGAGAAUCCUCUUAAACUGGUAGGCAAGGAUCAGCAUGCAUGAGGAGGUGGGAAAGAACAAAACACAGAACACUAUAGACAGUGGGGUGUAGUUAGUAUAAAAGAAGAAUAGGGGUGGGAGGGUAUAAGAAUAUGCAUAAAGUGAGGAAUGGAUAAAGAAGAUGUAUAAUGUACACACACACACAGUGGAAUAUUACUCGGCUGUUAAAAAGUGAAAUGCCAUUUGCAGCAAUAUGGAUAGACCUAGAGAUUGUCAUGCUGAGUGAAGUAAGAGAAACAGAAAUUGUGAGUGACAUCCCGAAUACGCGGAACCUAAAAAGAAAUGAUACAGUGAGCAUAUUUACAAAUAAAAACAGACUUAGAGAACCAACUUUGAGUUGCCUGAGGG